ACCGCUGGCAUAUCUCUCAUGCCAAGGCUCACUUCGUAAUGCGGAGUUCAGAUUUUACAAGCAGACUCUAGCACACGCUAUGUCAUCUACAAUGCCGCAGUAGUGACGGUGCAAACGAGCUGUUGCUGCCCAUCUCGGAAUGUGAACGUGGGAUACUUUCAUGGAUCUACGAGACCACAAUCUUGUGCGCAUCUGAGCGAAAGAAUUGAGCUACCUCUUGAGAAGAUUCUGCCUAGUUCGGGUUAGUUGCCAAGUUGAACCAAAAGACUUCAUCUUUGAAUGUUGGUUACUUCUGCUCUGUUUAGCUUGACCAUCUGGUUGGCAUGGUAUGAUCAUGUUGAGUAGGCAUCGACGGUGCCAUGUUGGGUAUGACCUGGUUGAAUCUAAUGAAGCUAUGCUACUCUACUUGUCCAAGGCUACAUCACAAACCAAGUCAAGCAAAACAAUAAGUUGCCCUACUCAAUUUGUUGUAUGUGUAAAGAAAACAGUUGUCCUCAAAUUCAAUGGAUUGUGUUCAAAUUUGGCA